CUCAAAAAAAAUUCAUCUCUUCCUCUCCUCUCCGGGCAGCCGCCACCCUCUCUCCCCACCAUAUUUUUUUCCGGCGAAAGCCACUGGAGGCAGUCGCCUCUCCUCCUCCCCGUCUCCCUCUCCGGCGCCCUCUCUCUCCCUUCGCACUUUCUCAUUUAUCUCCCCUUGCCCCUAUCUCUUCUUCUCCUCCUUUUCAGGCGAAGGAAGCUGGACAGCAACUCCAGUGAGCAGCCAGCGUAGCAACCAGCAGCAGCGAGGAGGAGGAAGCCAGCAACCACCAGCAGCAGCAGCGAACACCUCCUCCACCGGCACCAGCAGCUCCGGUGACCACAGCCAGGCGUGGCAGACAGCAGCAGCCAGCGAAAGCCAGCUCCCACUCCGGCCCUUUUUUCUUUCUCCGGCGAGCAACAGAACCAGCAGCAGCAGCUCAAGGCGAGAAUUCCGGUCAGCAGCUAUUGCACCGCUAGACAGGGCAGGUUUAGAGGAAAAGCUUUGAGUUUUGAUUUGUUAAAAAAUAUUGGGUCUUAUCAGAUCCAUCCAGGGUUUGAACUUAAAGGUUCAAGACAUGAAGAGUCGCCAUGGCAGUGCAAUAGACGAAUUGAUUUAAUUUAUCUUUUGUAUAUUAUUUAUUCUUUUAUUGUUUUGUAAUAAUUUGUAAACUCUAACUCUAUAUAUGUGAUAUAACUUGGGGAUCGCCUAAGGGGAGGUGGAUAUACGUGCUAAUUGUCUAUUUCCAUUUUUAGUUUAGUUCAUUCUUGUUAUGUGUGAUUGCUACGCAUAUAUUAUAAUUAUGUCGGAAUCCCUUAAAUAAUCCAACUUAAAAUCAAUUGUUUAUUUGUGUUUGUAUAUUUUU